GAUGAACGCUGGCGGCGUGCCUAAUACAUGCAAGUCGAGCGAACAGACGAGGAGCUUGCUCCUCUGACGUUAGCGGCGGACGGGUGAGUAACACGUGGAUAACCUACCUAUAAGACUGGGAUAACUUCGCGAAACCGGAGCUAAUACCGGAUAACAUGUUGAACCGCAUGGUUCAACCGUGAAAUACGGUCUUGGUGUCACUUAUAGAUUGAUCCGCGCCGCAUUAGCUAGUUGGUAAGGUAACGGCUUAGCAAGGCAACGAUGCGUAACCGACCUGAGAGGGUGGUCGGCCACACUGGAACUGAGACACGGUCCAGACUCCUACGGGAGGCAGCAGUAGGGAAUCUUACGCAAUGGGCGAAAGCCUGAUGGAGCAACGCCGCGUGAGUGAAGAAGGUCUUAGGAUCGUAAAACUCUGUUAUUAGGAAAGAACAAAUGUGUAAGUAACUGUGCACGUAUUGACGGUACCGAGACAGAAAGCCACGGCUAACUACGUG
rnacentral:rRNA from 1 species